rnacentral:lncRNA from 10 species
GUGGGCAGCCUGGAAGUCACUCGGGCCACCGGAGCUGGCGGCGUCUCCAGCGAGCGGCGCGGAGCUGGACGCCGCGAUCGUGGGGCCCGCGAGGCGGGCAGCCGGGGCGUCCAGGCGUGCACCCCGGCGCUGUGGUGAAGAGCUUGGAGGCGGGGAGCGGUGGAUUCGCGUCCCGGCUGUGCCACUCGGGAGCCGCGAUCUGGGAAAACCGCGCCGAACCUCAAUUUCCCCUGCAGUAAAACGGAGUAGGAGAGCAUCUUGGCGGAGACUCUGUUGAGAUAAUAUAAUAAAACAUUUGGCACAUAGGAGGCACUUACUACGUAUUUGGGUUAUUGUUAGCUCUCCGAAAAAUGAGGUGAAGAUGUUAUCGAUUGCAUAGGGUGAGGAUUAGUUGAGCGUGUGCAUGUAAAGAGGUGAGUCCUUAGUUAGCACCCAAUGCAGGCUAGCUGCUGUUAACCGAGAUUAUUUUGUUAAGAGCGUUGGUUUGGAAGGCAGAGAGACCCCAGGUUCAAAUUUGAACAUUUACCAGCUGUGUGACUUUGGGC